AAGCCACCCAGGCUCCCCCAGGCAUGCAUCUCCUGCCUUAAAGGGCUGAGCGUCGGUGGUCAGGGUCACAGGGCCAGUGACUGCUGUUGGGGAGCAGGGACGAUGACCGUCCUGGCUGCCUCAGGCGGAUACGGGACGUGUGGGGGCACAGCCGGCAGAGUCUCCCCCAGGGCUAGUCGCGUGGCUCCGGAGUGGUUUUCCAGGGAGGCGGCGGCGUGGGGCGGCAUCGACAGUAGCAGACGCGGAACAGCACCAAGUAAAGAUGAUCCUGACCAACACGGUGGCAUCUUAAGAUCACGUCUAUAGUUUCAAACCUGUCAAAUAAUCUAGGAGAGACCUUGACUUUGUAAACCUGUCAGGGAAUCUCUCACAGCCCAGGUGACGGAGAAGCAGAAGUAAUCAACAGUGGCUCUCUUUCCAAGAGUUUGGCCCUAACUUAAUUAAAACAAUUUUUU